CUCCUUUCUAAGGAUGAUCAAGAAUAGGGCUUUUUAAAAAUCCCUCCCUUUUUGAUCUGAUUAGACACAAAGUUUAAACAUGUGUUUGUUUAAACUGUGCAUAUGACGCUAACUCUCAAUAAAUCCCUCUCACCAAAAAGAGACCCCUCUUGAUCAUAAAGAGGAUCCCCCCCCCGUCUCUUUGAGGCCCCUACCUCGGAUGAGAGAACUAUUUGAGGGCUUAGUGCUCAUGUGUUGAUACAAUAAAUGCAGAACAUGCCGUCUUCGUUUCUCUUUCCUCAGAUGAUGAUCCCAAGCCUUCUGGCGAUCUCUUAAAAAAAGCCUAGCCUGCUUUUAAAAAACAGGACGUUUAGAUACUCUUUAAAUCCUUAUAAAUCUUAAAGAGUGUCCCUUUAAAAAAGGGCUUUAUGAAGAAAGCACUUUAAGCUUUUCCAAUGAUUUAAGAUGAUACCGGGGAAGGUUUUCCGGUUUAUCCCGGAGGGCUUGUAGCUCAGUUGGUUAGAGCGCGCGCUUGAUAAGCGUGAGGUCGGAGGUUCAAGUCCUCCCAGGCCCACCAAUUUAUGCUCGUUUUUUACUUAUCCUGAGAGUUAUGAAGCUUAAACGUAUCAAAGCCUCUUUAAUCUUUGUUCAUCGUUUAAAGAUUUUAUUUUAUCCUUCAGAAAUUGUUUGUUAAAUUUAUCUCAUUACGCUUAUCAAACAGUGCCUUUGUCAAAAGAAGGAUUUUAAGUUCCCUUCAAGAGGAUAGACAAAUUUAAAGGAUAAAAGCUAGAAAAUGAUACAAAUCAAUAUAAGUCAAAAUAAUAUUGAUCGAAAAAAUAGUAUUGAUUAAAAGAGGACAAGUCACUCAAGUUGAUAAUUUUUUUUGAGGUUGAUUUGAAAGAGCAUUCUUUAGGGGCCGUAGCUCAGCUGGGAGAGCACCUGCUUUGCAAGCAGGGGGUCGUCGGUUCGAUCCCGUCCGGCUCCACCAUUUAGAUCAUCAUCAUGUUGUAAGAACACGGUUUAGUAAAAGGUUUUUUUUACCCUUUUGCUUGUUCUAUUGAAAUUGUGAAGAGAAGAUAUAUUCAAACAUGUUCCUUUUGGCAUGUUCCUUUUGGACUGUUUGUUCUAGAGCGCAAAAUUUGUUCUCUAGGAUAAUUCUUUAAGAGGAAAAAUCUUAAAGACAAAACAGUAUCCUUAUAUGAGGUGACGAAAGAAACCUUUUAGGGAAGAAACCUUUAAAAAAGGUGAGAAAAAAACAAAAGCAACGAAAAGAAAUAGAGACAAAAGAAACAUUGUGUCGCAAGGGAAGGUUCAAAGCCCUUGCAUAUGAUUGGAAGCUUAACCGCGCCAUUGAAUAUAUCUCGAGAAGCUGGUCUUUUCUGCUGAUAUUUAUGUUUGUUGUGCGCUUGUGUUUUGCACAAGACCAAGAAAAGCAGACAAACGAAAAAUAAUCGGUAAACACCUUGGUGAUGACAAACUCAGUGAUGAGGAGAUCAUCGGAGGUUUUUAAAAGUGAUUGUUGAA
rnacentral:tRNA from 1 species